rnacentral:rRNA from 1 species
GACGAACGCUGGCGGCGUGCCUAAUACAUGCAAGUCGAGCGAAUCACUGGGAGCUUGCUCCCGGUGGUUAGCGGCGGACGGGUGAGUAACACGUGGGCAACCUGCCUGUAAGACUGGGAUAACACCGGGAAACCGGUGCUAAUACCGGAUAAUCCUUUUCCUCUCAUGAGGAAAAGCUGAAAGUCGGUUUCGGCUGACACUUACAGAUGGGCCCGCGGCGCAUUAGCUAGUUGGUGAGGUAACGGCUCACCAAGGCGACGAUGCGUAGCCGACGUGAGAGGGGGAUCGGCCACACUGGGACUGAGACACGGCCCAGACUCCUACGGGAGGCAGCAGUAGGGAAUCUUCCACAAUGGACGAAAGUCUGAUGGAGCAACGCCGCGUGAGCGAUGAAGGCCUUCGGGUCGUAAAGCUCUGUUGUUAGGGAAGAACAAGUACCGGAGUAACUGCCGGUACCUUGACGGUACCUAACCAGAAAGCCACGGCUAACUACGUGCCAGCAGCCGCAGUAA